GAUCUUCACGCACACCCAUAAAUCAUCUGUCAGCACAGCAGUAAGGGAAAGCACGUACAAAAGGAUAUCCAGGUGGCAUUACUCACCUACCAAGAUCCAUGUACUCUUCCCAACAGUACCUAAAAUAUGUUGGAGAUGCGGGCAAACUAAAGGAACCACGGCGCACAUUUGGUGGCUAUGCCCGCCUAUUCAAACCUAUUGGCAGAGACUAAGAAGCCUAAUAACAUCUAUCACGGGCCACCAGGUAUCACACUCCCCCGAAACCUUCUUAUUCCUCAUGCACACCACCCACAUGCCUAGCCACCUACGCACACUCAUAAACCAUAUGCUGACAGCAGCAAACAUGCUGAUACCACUUAAGUGGAAAAGCACUGGGGUCCCAUCAGUACGUGAGUGGAUACAGAAGGUGGAAUUCAUACGGAUCAUGGAAGAAUUAGAUGCCUCAUACUCGAAUAACUACACCACAUAC